UUUUCUUCUUGUUCCACAGUCGCCAACUGAUGCCUCAGAAAGGUUGGUAGAGGCUAUCUGGGCUGGGAAAAAACAGGGGGUUUUGUGGAGUAAGAUGGGUCCCUAUAAAAUUUUUUCUAGAAAUUUGAGGGACCAUCUUGCACCUGGGAAGGAACUAGAAGCGGAGAUAAUAAAUGCCUACCUCACCAGUUUGGUGAAACAGCACACCACAGACUCCAAAAGAGGCUUUGUAAUAGACUCAUAUCAAAUGGCCUCCAUGUGGCAAGGAAGUCAAAAAGGACUGAGGAAGGUAAGCAUCCUAUCCUCCUUUACUGACCAUGUGAAAAGGUCUAUAUCUUGACAGACACCUGCUUUUUUGUAGCUGGAUCCACUGGAAUAUGACGUGCUGGUUGGACCCUUGUGUGUAAACCACCACUGGACACUCAUUGUAAGUUCCUCAGAGCAUCUUAAUAUCAACUAUUCCUUAUUAAGAUCAAUCCUUGUUUUUUUUGUUUUUUUUUUACAUUAUGUGGUAUUGCUUUGUCAAGGUUGUUUAUCCAAUGGAAAAGCGAUCCCUCUACAUGGACCCAUUUGGGGCAAACUCAGUGGAUAUAGGAAAAUGCAGAGAUGUAACUAGAGCCUUCAUGAGACAGAGGGGUGUCAAUGCUUCACGGUGGACAUGUGCUACGAUAGGGCAUCCACUUCAGAUGGAUGGCACAUCUUGUGGGGCUUUGGUGUGCAAGGUAAGUUUAACUGCACAUACUUUUUUGAGCUAUAUCCUUUUAUAUUGUGAAAAACACUUUUCUCCUAACAGCUAG
ensembl:lncRNA